rnacentral:miRNA from 1 species
AUCGGACCACGUCGAGAGCAA